GGUUUGUAUUUAUUGGUGUUUCUUAACUAUUUAUUGUUUUUAGUAAAGGUUUUAAACCUUUAAACUGGUGGUGCCUCCACCAUGGCGGCUAGCCAUGCCGGCAUGCGGAGGCACCACAGUGUUCGAUUUUUAUUUAAUGAAAAAGUAGAAGAAAAUAGAGUAACGAGAUUGGACUUUUCAAGAAAAUUAAUUCAACAGGUACUGAAGUUUCGGCCAGAUGACCUGAAUUGUAUCCUUACCCUGCCUUUCAAUAAAGGAUAUGACGUAAGUUUUUGCUCUGCCGCACUUCUCAAAGAAUUUUGGACACGGUUUGAAAAUGCUAAGACCCAGUUUUCAGCAUUUGACGUCGAGAAACUGACUGACAACUCCCUGAAAACGGUGAUUGUCAGGAUGUUCAAUGAGACUGUCAGUGCUGAAGACAUCUGUAUAUGGCUGGGUAGAUACUGCACUGUGAGAGGCCAGGCUAUGAAGGUGCGGGAUGUGGACGGCAUCUGGAACUGUGCUUGGCGGGUCCCCAUCAAACAAUGGGAAGACCCCCAAGGCUUCCAGGGCCUGAAGCAUCUCCCCUCAAUGAUAGUCCUGGGGGAGAACAGAGGCUACAUUCACUAUCAAGGCAAACCCAAACUGUGCCGGAAGUGCGGCGAGCAUGGUCAUCUGGCCGAAACUUGUGAAAAAGUUUUCUGCGGUAAAUGUCGAGAAGUGGGACACACUUUUGAUGAGUGUACGAACGGGCGGAAAUGUAAUUUGUGUGGUGGACAGGAUCAUUUGUUCAGAGACUGUCCAAAGUCGUUUGCGAAUAAAUUGAAAAAAGGAAAAGAGACGCUAACGGAAACGGUUAAUGAGCAAGUGGACGCAGCUGGGUUGGAAAAUUCAAAUCUCCCGCCAGGUCCUCUGAUUGGAGGAGAGGAGGAGAGGGCGGGAAGCGGGGAGGGGAAGGAAGCCCCCCCAGACCGAAACAUCCAGUGAGGGGGGGGGAGAUGCUAACCGAAGGCGGAGCUAGCUCGGACUCUGAGGAAGAACAGACUGACAGCAGCGAUGAUGCUCCCCUCCCCGACGCCCAGCUGGCUAAGAGGCCGGCAUCUGAGUCACCUCCCGACCUUACCCCCAAGGACCGGGAACCAGUGACUCCAGUGCGCGGCCUCCUGUAUGGAGACGCCUCCACGGUUUGGCACAACGUGAGCCAUCCCGUCCUUCCAAACAGACUCCAGGACCUGUCAUGGAUGGUGGCUCAUGGGAUCCUGCCGGUCAGAGCCGUCAUGCACUCCCGCGGCAUGUCACCGACGUCCAUCUGCCCCCGACCCGGUUGUGGCGCGCCGGAGUCGGUGAGGCACCUGCUGUGGGAGUGCAGCGCUGCUGUGGACCUGUGGGCGAAAGCCGGCUCCUUGCAAUUCCCACACUUGCCAGCAAGGGAGGUCCUCCAUGGGCAGCUAGUGCUGUAAGGGGCGAGCCAGCAGAAAAUGACUAAAAAAAGACUUUGC